GCACAAGCGGUGGAGCAUGUGGUUUAAUUCGACGCAACGCGAAGAACCUUACCUGGGCUCGAAAUGUAGUGGACCGGGGUGGAAACAUCCCUUCCCCGCAAGGGGCCGCUAUAUAGGUGCUGCAUGGCUGUCGUCAGCUCGUGUCGUGAGAUGUUGGGUUAAGUCCCGCAACGAGCGCAACCCUUAUCUCCAGUUGCUACCAUUUAGUUGAGCACUCUGGCGAAACCGCCUCGGAUAACGGGGAGGAAGGUGGGGAUGACGUCAAGUCCUCAUGGCCUUUAUGUCCAGGGCUACACACGUGCUACAAUGGCCGGUACAAACCGUCGCAAACCCGCGAGGGGGAGCUAAUCGGAAAAAGCCGGCCUCAGUUCGGAUCGCAGUCUGCAACUCGACUGCGUGAAGCUGGAAUCGCUAGUAAUCGCGGAUCAGAACGCCGCGGUGAAUACGUUCCCGGGC
rnacentral:rRNA from 1 species